UACGUAGGUGGCAAGCGUUGUCCGGAAUCACUGGGCGUAAAGGGUGCGUAGGCGGCCGUGCAAGUCUGGCGUGAAAGCCCCGGGCUCAGCCCGGGAAGUGCGCUCGAAACUGCGCGGCUCGAGUGCCGGAGGGGAGAGUGGAAUUCCUGGUGUAGCGGUGAAAUGCGUAGAUAUCAGGAGGAAUACCGGUGGCGAAAGCGACUCUCUGGACGGCAACUGACGCUGAGGCACGAAAGCGUGGGGAGCAAACAGG
rnacentral:rRNA from 1 species